rnacentral:rRNA from 1 species
AGUGAACGCUGGCGGUAGGCCUAACACAUGCAAGUCGAACGGCAGCGCAGUAAGAGCUUGCUCUUACGGGUGGCGAGUGGCGGACGGGUGAGGAAUACAUCGGAAUCUACUUUUUCGUGGGGGAUGACGUAGGGAAACUUACGCUAAUACCGCAUACGACCUACGGGUGAAAGCAGGGGAUCUUCGGACCUUGCGCGAUUGAAUGAGCCGAUGUCGGAUUAGCUAGUUGGCGGGGUAAAGGCCCACCAAGGCGACGAUCCGUAGCUGGUCUGAGAGGAUGAUCAGCCACACUGGAACUGAGACACGGUCCAGACUCCUACGGGAGGCAGCAGUGGGGAAUAUUGGACAAUGGGCGCAAGCCUGAUCCAGCCAUACCGCGUGGGUGAAGAAGGCCUUCGGGUUGUAAAGCCCUUUUGUUGGGAAAGAAAAGCAGCAGGUUAAUACCCCGCUGUUCUGACGGUACCCAAAGAAUAAGCACCGGCUAACUUCGUG